rnacentral:rRNA from 1 species
CCUACGGGUGGCUGCAGUGGGGAAUAUUGGACAAUGGGCGAAAGCCUGAUCCAGCCAUGCCGCGUGUGUGAAGAAGGCCUUCGGGUUGUAAAGCACUUUCAGUGGGGAAGAAAGCCUUGGGGCUAAUACCCUCGAGGAAGGACAUCACCCACAGAAGAAGCACCGGCUAACUCCGUGCCAGCAGCCGCGGUAAUACGGAGGGUGCGAGCGUUAAUCGGAAUUACUGGGCGUAAAGCGCGCGUAGGCGGUCUGAUAAGCCGGUUGUGAAAGCCCCGGGCUCAACCUGGGAACGGCAUCCGGAACUGUCAGGCUAGAGUGCAGGAGAGGAAGGUAGGAUUCCCGGUGUAGCGGUGAAAUGCGUAGAGAUCGGGAGGAAUACCAGUGGCGAAGGCGGCCUUCUGGACUGACACUGACGCUGAGGUGCGAAAGCGUGGGUAGCAAACAGGAUUAGAUACCCGUGUAGUC